CAGUAGCCGCGGUAAUACGUAGGGUGCGAGCGUUAAUCGGAAUUACUGGGCGUAAAGCGUGCGCAGGCGGUUUCGUAAGACCGAUGUGAAAUCCCCGGGCUCAACCUGGGAACUGCAUUGGUGACUGCGAAACUGGAGUGCGGCAGAGGGAGAUGGAAUUCCGCGUGUAGCAGUGAAAUGCGUAGAUAUGCGGAGGAACACCGAUGGCGAAGGCAGUCUCCUGGGCCUGCACUGACGCUCAUGCACGAAAGCGUGGGGAGCAAACAGGAUUAGAGACCCCUGUAGUCCCUGUCUCUUAUAC
rnacentral:rRNA from 1 species